CAGCAGCAGCCGCGGUAAUACGGAGGGUGCAAGCGUUAAUCGGAAUUACUGGGCGUAAAGCGCACGCAGGCGGUCUGUCAAGUCAGAUGUGAAAUCCCCGGGCUUAACCUGGGAACUGCAUUUGAAACUGGCAGGCUAGAGUCUUGUAGAGGGGGGUAGAAUUCCAGGUGUAGCGGUGAAAUGCGUAGAGAUCUGGAGGAAUACCGGUGGCGAAGGCGGCCCCCUGGACAAAGACUGACGCUCAGGUGCGAAAGCGUGGGGAGCAAACAGGAUUAGAUACCCCGGUAGUCCCUGUCUCUUAUAC
rnacentral:rRNA from 1 species